UGGUUCUGGCAUCGAUGAAGAACGCAGCGAAAUGCGAUAAGUAAUGCGAAUUGCAGAAUUCCAGUGAGUCAUCGAAUCUUUGAACGCACAUUGCGCCCUUUGGUAUUCCGAAGGGCAUGCCUGUUCGAGCGUCAUUAUCACCCCUCAAGCCCCCGGCUUGGUGUUGGACGGCCUGGUUUCGGUUCGCCCGAAACCCCUCCUAAAGUCAAUGACGGCGGUACGAGCACCCCCGGUACACUGAGCUUCUUCACUGAGCACGUAUCGGUCUCAAGGGUCUCGCGCCAACCGGUCUCCUGCGCGCGCCGUCAGGCCCGCACAUUUUCUCCAGGUUGACCUCGGAUCAGGUAGGGAUACCCGCUGA
rnacentral:misc_RNA from 1 species